GACGAACGCUGGUGGCGUGCCUAAUACAUGCAAGUAGGACGCAGUUGCGAACGGGUGAGUAACGCGUAGGUCACUGCCUAUUAGAGGGGGAUAACUAUUGGAGACGAUAACUAAUACCGCAUACUAGUAGAUGGACCUGCGUUGUAUUAGCUGGUAGGUAUGGUAAUGGCCUACCUAGGCGACGCUGCAGAGCCGACGUGGGAGGGUGAUCGGGCAGACUGGGAAUGAGACACGGCCCAGACGGCCACGGGAGGAAGAAGUAGGGGAUCUGCGGGAAUGGGGGGAACCCUGGACGAGCAACGCCGGGUGAGUGAAGAAGGUUUUCGGAUCUUAAAGCUCUGUUGUUAAGGAAGCGGUACGUAACCAGAAAGGGACGGCUAACUACGUGCCAGCAGCCGCGGUAAUUC
rnacentral:rRNA from 1 species